rnacentral:rRNA from 1 species
AGUGAACGCUGGCGGUAGGCCUAACACAUGCAAGUCGAACGGCAGCACAGGAGAGCUUGCUCUCUGGGUGGCGAGUGGCGGACGGGUGAGGAAUACAUCGGAAUCUACUCUGUCGUGGGGGAUAACGUAGGGAAACUUACGCUAAUACCGCAUACGACCUACGGGUGAAAGCAGGGGACCUUCGGGCCUGGCGCGAUUGAAUGAGCCGACGUCGGAUUAGCUAGUUGGCGGGGUAAAGGCCCACCAAGGCGACGAUCCGUAGCCGGUCUGAGAGGAUGAUCAGCCACACUGGAACUGAGACACGGUCCAGACUCCUACGGGAGGCAGCAGUGGGGAAUAUUGGACAAUGGGCGCAAGCCUGAUCCAGCCAUACCGCGUGGGUGAAGAAGGCCUUCGGGUUGUAAAGCCCUUUUGUUGGGAAAGAAAUCCAGCUGGCUAAUACCCGGUUGGGAUGACGGUACCCAAAGAAUAAGCACCGGCUAACUUCGUGCCAGCCGCCGCCGUAA